CUACGUAGGUGGCAAGCGUUGUCCGGAAUUAUUGGGCGUAAAGCGCAUGUAGGCGGUUCCUUAAGUCGGUCGUGAAAAUGCGGUGCUUAACGCCGUAUGGCGAUCGAAACUGGGGGACUUGAGUGCAGGAGAGGGAAGGGGAACUCCCAGUGUAGCGGUGAAAUGGGUAGAUAUUGGGAAGAACACCGGUGGCGAAGGCGCCUUUCUGGGCUGUUUCUGACGCUGAGAUGCGGAAGCCAGGGGAGCGAACGGGAUUAGAUACCCCGGUAGUCCUGGCCGUAAACGAUGGGUACUAGGGGUGGGGGGUAUCGACCCCUUCCGUGCCGGAGUUAACGCAAUAAGUACCCCGCCUGGGGAGUACGGCCGCAAGGCUUAAACUCAAAGGAAUUGACGGGG
rnacentral:rRNA from 1 species